CCUAGGUAUAAAGAGCCACCACUGUUCCUCCGUUUCACGACACACCUCAUACCGCCGACUUCCUCUCUUCACUCACCUUCGUCAUCUCGACGGAGUUCUCUCCUCGGCGGUCGGAGCUGAGGACAAUGUCGGAUUUGGUUGCCGAUCUUCAUCGAUGGUAGCGGAUCGGACAAGGAAUCGUGCGAUUCCUCGCUUUGACGGCACAAAAAUUGGAAGCUAGGGCAUCCAGCAGUGGAACAAGAAGGAAGAAGGCCAGUACCUUUCCCUAUGUUGAACGGAGAUCGGUGAGGUGAGGAUGAUUCUCAGGGUACAACGGAAGGCUCUCGGAUGGAGUAGACGAGGAGGCGGGAUGGACGCAUGAUACUAUCCGCUGUCUAGGAGUGCCGAGCAUAUUGGAUUCAUCGCAAUGGAUUUUGUUUCUUUAUUCAUUCAGAAGGGAAUGUUUUGGGAAUUAUUAUUUUAUUCGGUAAACCUUUGUUGAUACGAUCAUUUUUAUUGGUUAUGAUAGUUCUUUGUUGGUACUGCAUUAUGAUAAUGAUGAGAGUUUUUUUUAAAAAAAACUUGAAUGGUAGACGCGGGAUGUUUCAAUGA